UACAGAGGGUGCAAGCGUUAAUCGGAAUCACUGGGCGUAAAGGGUGCGUAGGCGGGUCUUUUAAGUCAGGGGUGAAAUCCUGGAGCUCAACUCCAGAACUGCCUUUGAUACUGAAGAUCUUGAGUGCGGGAGAGGUGAGUGGAAUUCCUGGUGUAGCGGUGAAAUGCGUAGAUAUCAGGAGGAACACCUGUGGCGAAAGCGGCUCACUGGACCACAACUGACGCUGAGGCGCGAAAGCGUGGGGAGCAAACAGG
rnacentral:rRNA from 1 species